rnacentral:rRNA from 1 species
UACGUAGGGUGCAGGCGUUGUCCGGAAUUAUUGGGCGUAAAGAGCUCGUAGGCGGUUUGUUGCGUCGGCUGUGAAAUCCCGAGGCUCAACCUCGGGUCUGCAGUCGAUACGAGCAAACUAGAGUGUUGCAGGGGAGACUGGAAUUCCUGGUGUAGCGGUGAAAUGCGCAGAUAUCAGGAGGAACACCGGUGGCGAAGGCGGGUCUCUGGGCAACAACUGACGCUGGAGGAGCGAAAGCGUGGGGAGCGAACAGG